rnacentral:pre_miRNA from 1 species
AAAAAAACAAACCCUGGGUUUCCAUGUCCAACGUUUGACUGUCCGUCUUAUAUGAAAUUUUUUUAUAAUUAGUAUUUUCGUUGUUGUUAGAUGAUAAAACAUGAUUAAUACUUUAUGCGUGACUUGUCUUUUUAAUUUUUCAUAAUUUUUUCAAAUAAGACGGACGGUCAAAUGUUGGACACGGAAACCCAGGGUUUGUCCUUUU